CCUGGUGUCCAUAGAGCGGUGGAACCACCUGUUCCCAUCCCGAACACAGAAGUGAAACGCCGCAUCGCCGAUGAUAGUGUGGGGUCUCCCCAUGUGAAAGUAGGUCAACGCCAGGCUCCCCAUUCAAAGCCCCCCGUACAUAUCCUGUGCGGGGGGCUU
rnacentral:rRNA from 1 species